rnacentral:rRNA from 1 species
UACGUAGGGCGCAAGCGUUGUCCGGAAUUAUUGGGCGUAAAGAGCUCGUAGGCGGCCUGUUACGUCUGCUGUGAAAUCCCGGGGCUUAACCCCGGGCGUGCAGGUGGAUACGGGCAGGGCUGGAGGCAGGCAGGGGAGAACGGAAUUCCCGGUGGUAGCGGUAGGAAAUGCGCAGGAUAUCGGGAGGAACACCGGGUGGCGAAGGCGGCUCUCUGGGCCUGUACUGACGCGUGAGGAGCGAAAGCGUGGGGAGCGAACAGG